UAGAUCUUUCUGGAAAACCUGGCCGACUGAUCUAUCAACAGACUUAUCAGUAUUACUGCUAUAUUGUACCUGUAUAUCAUCUAGAGCUGUGACGGAACAUCCCCGGUGAUAACCAUACAGUGAAGAGCAAUGUGUGACACACGGGUUUAAUUAUAGACAUUGUGUGUACGUGUAGACAUUCCCAGACGGUGGACAAGCAACAUAACAUCCGAAAUCCAGCGCAAUAUCUGAAACCCUACAUAACAUCCGAAAUCCAACACAAUAUCUGAAAUCCAUAGUUACUCGGGAAAUCCCAAGCGCCUAUCACUGCACUGCGAGGUGUAACACUCACAGAGGACACAUCGAUAACAAAUUACCACAAACAGAUUUACAGACAAAAUGCCUAUGCAAAUUAUGGUGCAAGCUGGUACAGACGGCAAGACACAGCUAAUUGAUGCCGAACCGGGUGAGAGCAUGUCUUCACUGUUCCAGAAGAUCUCGGACCGCCGUGGUGUAGAAAAACAGUACCUGCAGGUCGUCUACGCCGGCAAAACGUACCGACCUGGCGACGCAAAGACCGACCACAAAACUAUUGCCGACCUUGGCAUGAAAGACCGGUCGCUCGUGCAGCUCGUAACCAGGUUACCAGGGGGUCAAUAGGUCAUCUUGCAUCACGAUGAUUUCACGAAGACUAGGGUAGGAUGGCCGCACUGCCAUUGUAACAUUGACAAUAAAAGAUUUGUUUCAUUUUAUGAAGAGAUUCAGUUCAAACGUCGGAUGACGUCAUAUCCUGUGACGCAGUGAUAAGAUGCAUGACAUUAUAGUGAUAAGAUGGCACAAGUUUGUUAUCUCGCUAAAAUUGCCUGUAUGAACUGAUAUUUCAGUAUAUGAGGUACUGAAGCUGGGAGUUUUACUUAUAGGUACUGGACUAAAUCGAUUCACUGCUAUAUGUUGGAAAUGGACCAAGAUUGAACCUCUGUCUCUUAAGUUUGCAGAAUUCCCAGAACAGUUUAAAAAUUGUCUGUGAUAAUUUGCAUUUUUUUGUAACAAUUUGAAAUCUGCAGGAGAAACCUAUUUUGUGAUUAUAUGUCAUUUUAUCUGUCAAUGGUAUCUAGUGUAGGCAGUGAAGUGUACUGUUACAUAGGAGAUGGAGAGAUUAUUUUGUGUUACCGAAUGGAUGGGUCAUUUUAAAGCAAAAGAAAUAUCUGUUAUAUCAUUUUAAUGGGUCAUUUGGGGAAAUUGUAGGCCAGGGUCCUCAUGGCCCCCUCCUAAAUGUUCCCUGGAUAUGUGAUGUUACCUUGGAGAUGAGAUGUUCCCUGGGAGAUGUUACGUUACCUAGGAGAUCAGAUGUUACCUGGGGGGAUGUUACCUGGGAGACGUGAUGUUACCUGGGAGACGUGAUGUUCCCUGGGAGACGUGAUGUUACCUGGGAGACGUGAUGUUCCCUGGGAUAUGUUACGUUACCUACAUGUAGGAGAUAUGAUGUUACCUUGGGGUGUGGGUGGGUGAUGGGGGUGUUACCUGGGAGAGGUGAUGUUACCUAGGAGUUAACGUGUUACCUGGGAGAUGUUACGUUACCUAGGAGAUAACAUGUUACCUGGGGGUUGGGGGUGGGUUGGGGUGGGGGGAUUUACCUGGUAGAUGUGAUGUUACCUGGGAGAUGUUAUGUUAUCUGGGAGAUGUUAUGUACCUGGGAGAUGUAAUGUUACCUGGGAGAUGUUAUGUACCUGGGAGAUGUAAUGUUACCUGGGAGAUGUAAUGUUACCCUUGAGGUAUGAUGUUACCUGGAUGUGUGGUGUUACCCUUGAUAUAUAAUUGUAUCUGGGGUUGUGAUGUUACCUGGGAGACGUCAUGUUACCUAGGAUAUAUGAUGAUACCUGGGCUAUGUGAUUUUUCCCGGUUAACGUCACAUCUCCCCAUAGUAUUUUUACUAUUAUUACAUCUGAUGCAUUGAAACGGUAAUGUAGUGCGUACUAUCAGAGACGGCCACUGAUGUAGGGCAGAUGUUUGAUCAUAUAAAAAAUAACCCGUAUGACACUUAAUUGCAUCUGUCGUAAAGUGGCCUAUGGUGUAAGUAUACCGGUGUCGUAUGACUACAUCUUCAUUUGAUUGAACCGUGUAAUUUAUUAUUUUAGUUGAUGUGUUACAUUAGGAAACCACGUAGGAAACAAAAAAGACAAGACUGUUUUUCUUAUUACAUCGUUGUCUUCAUCAGCGGUUUCACUAUUGUAUACAAGAGAGUGUAAAUUAUAUUGGUAUGUAAGUCGGGUAUAUAUUAUAAUGAAAUGCGAUGUUAUAACGCUUGAUGUGUAUUUGCAAAGGAAAUAGUAUGCGAGUUUGGUUGAUACCUGCAUGGCUCUAAUACCUUAUGAUUGUUACUUAAUCUGGUAAGCAAAUGAGCAUGACUGACUAGCCAUGUAUGAUACCGUAAAUACUUUCCUGGCUUCUGAUUGGUUAUGAACUAUUCCGACAUUUCAUGACGGUUCAGGGCUAUCCAUGGACCUCCCUGUCAGCUCGAAGGCAAGACUUGUUUAUCGUCAGUCCUUUAUGGUGGCAUACCCAAACUCACAGUUGAUUGGCCGUUUUUAAGAGCAUGGACCUUGAACGUUCAUGUACACUUUGUAACGAUGUGUACCGUUCCGAUAUAUUAUGGACGAUGUGCAAGGCCAUGCGCCGUUCUGAUAGUUCAUGGACAAUUUAAGGCUAUGUGCUGUUCCGUUAGUUCAUGGACGAUUUGCCGGUCCAUGGACCUUUUUGAAAGUUCAUGGACGAUUUACAGCUCCAUGGACUUUUCUGAAAAUCCAUUAACGCUUUGUAAGGUCAUGGACCUUUCUGUUAGUUUAUGGAAACUUUUUGAAGCCAAGGGCCGUUCUGAUAGUUCAUGGACCGUUUCGUCAUGAACGAUAUCAGGUGUUACAAAUGAUAUCGGCUUUACCCGUUACCAUAGUAACGGAAGAAAUGCUUCAGUCUUGAGCCAAGUAGAAAUUAUAUAAUCAUUUGUUUGUUUUCUGAAAUAAAAGAUAAUUUCUCUCUU